rnacentral:rRNA from 1 species
AUGAAUCAAAGAGUCAACCAGGAGUGGAACCCCUCUGAGGUAGAGGGGGCGAGAUCAAUCAUUGAUCAUCUCAACAACUACUACAACAAUGAUGGCACCAACCAUGAGAAGAACAAGAAGCAUGAUAUCGUGGCCAAUCUCAAAGCAUGGUUCCCUAGGAAGACCAUGCAACAGGUAACAGACUUGUAUGAUGAUCUUGUUAUGGAGAUGCAUAUGUUGCAGUGUCCAGAGAAGGAGUACAAUGGUUCCAAUAGUGACCAUGGUGUGAUUUACACCGUGGAUGGCCUUGUGAAUAAAAACUUUGGAUUGCAAGAGGAGGUUUCCAUGGAAGGAAUGGGUAUUUUGUUUGGUCUUCCAUUAGAGAGUAUGCAAACCAUGGAGAUACAAGAAGAGGUGCAGAUGGUGGAGGAGAACAAGGUGGUGUUGGAGAAUAAGAUGUGCAUCCCUCAACCAGUGCUUGCACCACGUGCCAAGGGGUUUUGGACCCCAGAGGAACACGGGCUCUUUCUCCAUGGGUUGAGUGUAUGUGGUCGUGGAAAAUGGAAGGAGAUAUCAAAGUACUUUGUCACUAGUAGGACUCCAGCCCAGAUUUCGAGCCAUGCACAGAAGUACUUCAUGAGGCUACAGAGAAAAGGGUCAGGAAGCCAACGCUAUAGCAUCAACGACGUGGAGCUCGAUGAUGCUGGCCCAUGGAAAAUGGAGAAUAGCUUUAAUUUCUGGCAAGCACUCGCCUUGCAAUCUACAACUGGUGGUGAUAACAAAAAUCCAAGUUUUGAUUUGCAAACCCCUUCGAGUCCAUUUGUCACCAUGAACAAUAUAGUCUAG